CCAGGCCAUUCUAUGAUUCUAUGAUUCUAUGACUUCUGCGCUGCUGGUCCAGCUCACACAAAUGCAGCUGGGGCUGCAUCCCUGUUUUGUGCAUCCCGGCUAAGGAGACAGCUCAUCACUGCAUGUCUCUUGGGAACGGCCAUGUGUUUUAUCUCCAAACACUCCAUAAGGAUCACACGUGGGCUAAAACUGACUGCAGUGGUCAGCAAAGUGCUUUCCCUGUGAGACGUAUCGAUGGCUUUUUCAUCUAGUGCCUUGCUGAAUCAGCCCUUCUGAAGACCCCCCUGUGAUGAGCAUCAAAAUAGCUCCCGUCUCUAUAAGGCCUUCAAGCUCUACUCUUUAAUCACAUGAGCUGCACUUGCCUUAAAGGGAGAGCACAGCAAGCUCAGCCCAUAGGAUGUGGGUCCUGGGGCUGCUGAGUCUCAUAGGGGUGCUCAAAGGGCAAGGAGGUAAAGCAAAGCACUCACACACUGAUCUGGUGUGCCAGGCUCUCCAAACACCUAUCCCAAAGAGUAGAUCCAUCCGCAAUUAAAGCCGUAUCUGUUUGCUUUCACGAGAUUGAUUGCACAUUUAAUCAGUCGCCGUUUGUAUAUUGGGUAUCACUGAAAGGGAGAGAUAAUAAAGAAAUCAUUCUUUUAAAGGAGCAACUGCAUUGCAGAUCAAUUUCUUCAAAACCUUCAUGUGCGGAGAAAUCCUAUGGGAUGAAUAUUUCAUAAGGGGAAUAGCACUGUUAAAUUAAUAAAAACUCUGCAUGCCUAGUUAUGAACUACAAUGGUUACUGAAGUUGUUAGAAAAAAAACUGGCCCUGUUCGUACUUUGUACGUCAAUUAAUGAUGGAGUCAUAGCUGGACCCUGGGGGAACUGAAGGAGGAAAAGGGACCUUUCUGACAUGAGGAGUGGGUAUUAAGAGUUGGGUGGACAUGACUGCCCACUUAGGCCAGAUAACCUUACUGGUGAGGUCCCUCAAUUGGGAGGAUGAAGAUGCUGACACUGAUGAUGUCAAGUAUUUCUUACUGCCCGUCUCAGGCUGCAGGAGGAUGAUGUGAGGAAAUGGAGUGACGUGGAGUGCUGAGUAAGGUGGAUAAAUGAUGCCACCCUGGAAGCCUUCAUCCCUCAGCAUCAUGGGGAUUCAACUGGAGUGGGAGGGCUCCAAUAUGAGCAGCAGAGACUUCAGACUGUGCCCUCAUCCCUUCCCGUGGCAGAGAAGAGUCCCCUUCAAAUCCCAUCCCACUUGUAACCUCUCCCCAUUCCCAUGCUAAGCUCCAACCUUCCCCUUUCCAGAGCAAAACAGCUCCACUGGAAAUCUUCCAUCUCACUCCACAUCUUCCCCCUUCCUUCCCACCCCACAAAGCCCAUUCCUUUGGCUGGCAGCUCAUCAGCCAACCCCAGCUCAGCGACAAGUCAGCAUCUGCUUCUCUCCUCCCGAACUUCAGAAGAGAAACCCGUCAGCUCUUACCCAGCAAAGACAGAGGAGGUUUGAAACCACCAUAUUGAUCUUCCUCUUUGAAAUUCCUUUUUUUUUUUUUUUCUUCUCUCUCUCUUUUCCGAGUAGCACCAAAUAAAAAUAGAACAAAAAUAC
ensembl:lncRNA